rnacentral:tRNA from 1 species
GGAUAAGUUGCUAAGUGGUCAACAGCGGCGGAUUGUAAAUCCGCUACGAUUAACGUUUCGGAGGUUCGAAUCCUUCCUUAUCC